rnacentral:lncRNA from 1 species
UACACGGCGACAGAGGCAGAGCAGGGACAGAGGGGCGUGAUUUCCGGGUCGGGGCCAGGCAGGUAGGGCAGCUGGCGGUGACAGAAGCCAUGUGCCCCUGCCGCUGGCCGUUAAAGGAGAGGACCGAGGGGGGGAGCGGGGGAAAGGGAGAGAAAUCGCGAGAGAGACCGAGAGUGAGAGACUCCGGCUGAGCGUCGUUCGGCCGUCCUCGACACAAACCGGCGUCCCCUAGCGGGCACACCGAGCCUGCGGUCCCCCAUCUUUCACCUCGUCCAAUUUUCGGUGAGUUGGAGUUUGGUUGCGAUCCGUUGUUUUGCUGCGGAUCCCGUUUUGGCAACACACAGACGGCCGAUUACAGCUCGAUUAUUGUUAAGCCGGGAAAUCAUGGAGUAUUGAUAGUUUCGAGUGUCGUAGAACUAUAGAAUUUUAUAUAACUCGAUUUAGGCUUAUAGCUUACCCACAC